GUCCUUAACAAGUAAGCCAAUUUCAUAAAUGAUUCACGAAAUAGUGCGCUUCUAAUACUAGGACUGCCAUCUAUGAACAAUUCAGCUAACAGUCUUCCACGACAAAAAUGUGCUUUAUGCUUUAUCAUCGUUCAUCCUUUAUAUUUUCACCCACACGCAAAAUGAUAGUAAAUAAAAGAUUUCAAAAAUACCUCGGGAUCAUUUGACGGAAUCAAAGUAACAACUCUUCCCGGCUAUCGUUACCGACCUUUCCGGGGACUCCACGGUGAUCAAUACUGGCUUGCCAGAAGCGCCGGACGUACCCUUUAAUGUAACCAAUGACUCGCCUCUCGUAAGGAAAAUCGACUUUCCAUAUUAACGACCCAUAACCAAACACCCACAUGACUGAAACGAGUGACAGUGACACUGUACAGUACACAAGACGCGUCGUCUGAAGUUCUUUCCGUCUGCUUUAAAGUUUUGACCGAUGAGACCGUGUUGUCAUGUCAAGAAAACAGUACAAAGAAUAUUUUGUAGCAGUUCAUGAAUAUCAUGAAGUAUUAUUUUCUGAUUCUUUUCCCAGUUUUAAAAUAAAUUCCAACACAUACAUUUGAACUUGUAUCUCUUGAGGGUUGCUGGUUAAAUAAAAACCUGGGACUCCUGUUUAAGAUA